UGCAACACUGUGUCUCCCGCAGACACAAAAGAGCUGUACGUGAGGUGCGUCGCGAUGCCGCGCGAAUAGUGUUUGGGAUACGGCGCACUUCCUGCAAGUCAGCUUCUCGAGUAAUGUCUUUGUUUUACCAUUCGCGCUUUUGACGUCCGUCGGCGGCUAUAUGGGGCGCGUCACCAAGUUUCCAACAAGCCGCUGUCCCACAGGAACGCAGGGAGAGGCCACGAGCCUUCCACUGAUGUCAAGCCUUUCCAGGACCAACACCACCUCCGACCUCCUUAAGCGACGAAAGAAGCGAAGAUCGCGGAUCCUCACGCGGAACCGCGGCAACAGCGGCAGCAAAGACGUCGAUUCAACCACCAGGCACGCCCCGAAUGGUUGACAAUUCCACGUGCUUCGCGGAGUCCCAGAUGUCAGUCCUGGAUCAAAACCCAGAGGGCGUCCUCUAUUUGGCUAUACGUCAAGACGAAACUGAAAUCACAUAUAUAAUGCGACCCUCGAAAACUGUGCUGGCGUUUUUCCUGUCGCCGUCGUCGCUUCUAGAAUUGUAUGGUGCACAGCAGAGAACGGCAAGUAUAACCGCACUACUUGUCCACAGGUGCAUUCUAUAGAAGGCCGACGCGGCGCCUGAGUGAAACUGCGGGCGCCGAAUGACCAUCGGCAUCAUCAUACAUGCCUGGCUAUUUGGAAAAGCGACCAUCCACCUGCGGAGGAUAGUGACCGCUGACUUGCGUGUUCGAGCAUUGAAACAUGAUUUCGUCCGUUAUGCUUCUUAAGGAAUAACCGAAAAUCUCGAUGGAUGUCCGAAACCAAGGGACUUCUAGGAUCACGCUAAGAAAAACAGGAAAAAGAUGCGAUGCAACGCAAUUGAUACACUAUUUUUGGUUCAUCAAGUUACUAAGUUUCUGUAUGCUUGAUGGUAUUAAUUUAUAUUUAGCUAGUCGUAAGUUUGCACAAAGCUUUUGUCCUCAUACAUAGAUUAAAUACAUUAGACAUACAUAAUACAUUUAAUACACUUAAUGUCUAUUGAUUAAACGUUCAUAAAUGCCUACGCCUUCCGCAUAGGAAUGGUGACCAUUGCGCUGAAGAGGAAACUGUCAGCGACAACCUGUGCCAAUGUCCGCAGUUUUGUGUACAAAUACGCUCACCUGCCGCUGUGCUCAACAAGCUUGACGACGACCUCUGUCUGAAGAGCUAAUCCUACAACACAGGCGUGACUCGGUAUCGCAUCAGAUGACCGUGAAAGCAUUAUUGGGCGUUUUGCUUUCGAUGCACCUUACUUAGUGAACGCCUGUAGAAGUUAAUUUUUUUUCUCUCUCCUCCUUUCUAAACCUCUUUUGCCCGACCACCAUGCAGGGUAGCAAACCGGGCACUUGCGUGAGGUUAACCUCCCUGACUUUCCUCUCUCUCUCUCUCUCUCUCUUGAUUAAGCGUACGUUGAGAAGCCA